GCAAAGGGCGUCCCUCGAGUUAUGAGUAUAAAAGAGACCUCAUAGGACUGACAAGCACAGACAGAUUUCCCUUAGCAUAACAAGGGUAGCUGCUUUCAACAUGGCCUGCCUCAAACUCUUGGUUGCUGUCUUAGCGACUUUGGCUUUGCUGACUAUGGUGUCCGUCAAAGCCGCCCCACACCAUUCACUAUCUGAAUACGGCUACGAUUAUGGGCACUACUACCCAUACGGUGGUGCUUACUAUCCAUACUACCAAUAUGCCCCUUAUUCAGGCUAUUACUAUUACCCCUACGGUUACUCAUCCUACAGUUACGUCCAGUCGCAUCAGACCACGAAUGCUGGGAAAAAGUAGGCAGGCAAUAUCGUCAACAUUUUGGUGUACUCCGGAAAGUCGACGACAUCAGAUUGCCUUACGAAUUUUUCUCUUUUUAUCUAUGUUCCGUACCAUGUUCACCCAAAGACAUAUGAUAAUGAUUCAUGACGUUGUCAAACAAAUUCAUUCGAUAACUUUUAAAGAGUACCUACCACGUUCACAAAUAGCAAAAGUAGUCGUUACUAUUCGUAUACACAAAUUAUACUUUAAAAUUAUGUAAUUAAUGUUUAGUAAAUAGUUUCUCUCGUUAUUUCAUUAAAAUCAAAUAUUUUUACAAUGAAAAAGUUUUUAGGAAUUGGCCUACUCUCAAAACAAAGAUAAUUCUUGACUAUGUGUAACAAAUACAAUAAAGUUUUUAACAAUG